rnacentral:rRNA from 1 species
GUCGAACGCUUUUUCUUUCACCGGAGCUUGCUCCACCGAAAGAAAAAGAGUGGCGAACGGGUGAGUAACACGUGGGUAACCUGCCCAUCAGAAGGGGAUAACACUUGGAAACAGGUGCUAAUACCGUAUAACACUAUUUUCCGCAUGGAAGAAAGUUGAAAGGCGCUUUUGCGUCACUGAUGGAUGGACCCGCGGUGCAUUAGCUAGUUGGUGAGGUAACGGCUCACCAAGGCCACGAUGCAUAGCCGACCUGAGAGGGUGAUCGGCCACACUGGGACUGAGACACGGCCCAGACUCCUACGGGAGGCAGCAGUAGGGAAUCUUCGGCAAUGGACGAAAGUCUGACCGAGCAACGCCGCGUGAGUGAAGAAGGUUUUCGGAUCGUAAAACUCUGUUGUUAGAGAAGAACAAGGAUGAGAGUAGAACGUUCAUCCCUUGACGGUAUCUAACCAGAAAGCCACGGCUAACUACGUGCCAGCAGCCGCGGUAAUACGUAGGUGGCAAGCGUUGUCCGGAUUUAUUGGGCGUAAAGCGAGCGCAGGCGGUUUCUUAAGUCUGAUGUGAAAGCCCCCGGCUCAACCGGGGAGGGUCAUUGGAAACUGGGAGACUUGAGUGCAGAAGAGGAGAGUGGAAUUCCAUGUGUAGCGGUGAAAUGCGUAGAUAUAUGGAGGAACACCAGUGGCGAAGGCGGCUCUCUGGUCUGUAACUGACGCUGAGGCUCGAAAGCGUGGGGAGCGAACAGGAUUAGAUACCCUGGUAGUCCACGCCGUAAACGAUGAGUGCUAAGUGUUGGAGGGUUUCCGCCCUUCAGUGCUGCAGCAAACGCAUUAAGCACUCCGCCUGGGGAGUACGACCGCAAGGUUGAAACUCAAAGGAAUUGACGGGGGCCCGCACAAGCGGUGGAGCAUGUGGUUUAAUUCGAAGCAACGCGAAGAACCUUACCAGGUCUUGACAUCCUUUGACCACUCUAGAGAUAGAGCUUCCCCUUCGGGGGCAAAGUGACAGGUGGUGCAUGGUUGUCGUCAGCUCGUGUCGUGAGAUGUUGGGUUAAGUCCCGCAACGAGCGCAACCCUUA